rnacentral:rRNA from 1 species
AUUGAACGCUGGCGGCAGGCCUAACACAUGCAAGUCGAACGGUAACAGGAAACAGCUUGCUGUUUCGCUGACGAGUGGCGGACGGGUGAGUAAUGUCUGGGAAACUGCCUGAUGGAGGGGGAUAACUACUGGAAACGGUAGCUAAUACCGCAUAACGUCGCAAGACCAAAGAGGGGGACCCUCGGGCCUCUUGCCAUCGGAUGUGCCCAGAUGGGAUUAGCUUGUUGGUGGGGUAACGGCUCACCAAGGCGACGAUCCCUAGCUGGUCUGAGAGGAUGACCAACCACACUGGAACUGAGACACGGUCCAGACUCCUACGGGAGGCAGCAGUGGGGAAUAUUGCACAAUGGGCGCAAGCCUGAUGCAGCCAUGCCGCGUGUAUGAAGAAGGCCUUCGGGUUGUAAAGUACUUUCAGCGGGGAGGAAGGGAGUAAAGUUAAUACCUUGGCUCAUUGACGUUACCCGCAGAAGAAGCACCGGCUAACUCCGUG